UCAGAUACCGCCCUAGUUCUGACCGUAAACGAUGCCAACUAGCGAUCUGCCAGUCGACUCAUCGCUCUGGUGGGGAGCUUCCCGGAAACGAAAGUCUUCCGGUUCCGGGGGAAGUAUGGUUGCAAAGCUGAAACUUAAAGGAAUUGACGGAAGGGCACCACCAGGAGUGGAGCCUGCGGCUUAAUUUGACUCAACACGGGGAAACUCACCCGGCCCGGACACCGUAAGGAUUGACAGAUUGAUAGCUUUUUCAUGAUUCGGUGGAUGGUGGUGCAUGGCCGUUCUUAGUUCGUGGAGCGAUUUGUCUGGUUUAUUCCGAUAACGAGCGAGACUCUGGCCUACUAAAUAGUUGACGCAUUGCCACUGUGCGCACAACUUCUUAGAGGGAUUUUCGGUGUUUUCAACCGCACGAAAUUGAGCAAUAACAGGUCUGUGAUGCCCUUAGAUGUCCGGGGCUGCACGCGCGCUACACUGGCAAACGCAACGUGCCUGUCCUGCCCCGAAAGGAGCGGGUAAACCCCUGAAAUUUUGCCGUGAUUGGGAUCGGACAUUGCAACUAUUGUCCGUGAACGAGGAAUUCCUUGUAGGGGCGAGUCAUCAACUCGUCCCGAAUACGUCCCUGCCCUUUGUA
rnacentral:rRNA from 1 species